UAUUGCGUAAUGACGUGCUCCGAUUUUACAGUAAUUAUUUAGCAAUAAAUAGCAACAAUUAAUUGUUAAUUUAUAAUAAAUCAGUUCAUUAACUCGCUGGCUACAAUUUGAGUGCAAAAUUAUUGCUGGAUGUCACGUAUUUUAGCCAAAAAUUGAUAUUGUUUAAAGUGUCCAAAAGCGGCCGGGUCACGAAAAGACGCCAUGGAAUUUUAUAAUAACAAAAUGACCGCAGAUAUAUUACAAGAAGUGUGGCUAAAAUAUCUCAUGUGUUAAUGUUAUUAACUAAAUAACAUUAUCCAAAGUAGGACUGAACAAAUGACUAAAUUGAUUUGUCAUUGGAGCCAAAAUCAUUAUUGAGUACAUUGCAUUAAAUUUAUCCUGGCCAAUAUAUUAAAUUUACAUAAUGAAAAAAAAAGAUGAAGAGAAAGUAACUACUUUAUUUACAACAAAUACGACUCCUUGAAUGCUAUAAAAUAUAACAUGAAAAUUGAAAAAAACAUCAUCAAGACCCACUACAUGAUAUAAUUAUGCUUCAAUAAUGAUGAUCCCUGAUCAUGAAAAACCAUCACUUAAUUAUUUACAUGUUGCACGUACAAUUGAAUUUAAAAAGUGGUAGGUUUCAAUGAAAUCCACCAUCUCAUAAAUUGUCUACCAAGAUUUUAUCAUAAAACUUAAUCUUUCUUUUACUUAAAAAUCACAGGCUGCUGGUGUCAUUUAUUAUCAUGCUGUUAACUUUACUGUAUCAUUCAUCUUGGUAGUAUUCAUGACUUGUCAUCUCAUAUGAUUGUAUCUAUUUUUUACUGGAAGAACAAUCAACAACAUCACGUGGUGCUGGUAUUAUUGACUCUCUAUUAUGUUCUCUCUCAUGUACCAGUUGUUGUUGUUGUUAUUGUUCAACAUUUGCCAAUUAUGUUUAUUGAAAUUGUCUCUGGUAAAGUGCUAGUGAUGCUUAUAAAUAACAACAUGUUGGUCUUGAGAGAGUUGAGAGUUACUGAGAGCAUCAGAGGGCAUCAGAAUAUACUGCCUCUAUCAAAGUGCUUGCCUCCUCUUUCUAUCCAAGAGCUUGUAUACAUCAAAGAGCUUGCCGCUAUAGCAACAAUGUGUAUAUUAUCAACUCAGCCGACAACUCGAGAGUCGAGACCUUGUUUUAAAAUUGAUAAAACACUUGCAAAUCAUAAUGAUAUCAAUAAUAAGUUUUAAAUAAAUAAACUUAUUAUAAACAAAAACUCCAUUGAGUGCUUUAUAAACUAUAUGAGUUAACAAGUGCUAUUUUUUUUUUUUGUUACACUAACAAGUAGUGGUGAAAAGUGUGAAAAGUGUUUUGUGUAAUGUGUGUAGUGCUUGUGUGUAAUCAUUGAACCUGUUGAUGAUGAGAUUAAAUCAUCACAUGAACUACAUGGAUCCUCUGGUCUUCAUGGAUUGCAGUAUCCUGAGCAAUUUUGAUGACCAGCGUGGGAAGAUGAACAUCCCCAUACAAGAAGGUGCAUCAAAGUUUAUACUGGAAAAAGGAUCACUGUGUUGCAUAAUAAAAUGUUGUUAGCAAGCGACAGUUGAAGUUUUCUGGUCGACCUUGUAAACAUUUUUUCUUCUUAUCCGGAUUGUGGGGUGGUCUGGCUGUGCCUUGUUCAACAACUGAAGACUGUAAAUUUCUUGCAACUCCACCAAUGAAAUCAGUAUGUUCAGGUACAUUUUGCAAAUGUUAUACAAAUUAUAAAGACUUGAAAGAUUGUACAUUGAAACCAUCACACUUUAGAGAAUUUAAAAAUGAUGGAAUUAUUGGAAGAAUUUGUCAUCAUGAUAUUGAUUGUAAUUUGCAUAAUAGACAUUGUAAUACAACAACACAUCAAUGUGCCUGUGAUCGUGGAUAUGUUGCAUCGAAAAAUUCUAAAACAUGUUUACCUGUUGCAAAAUCAAUGGAUGAAUUUUGUGAAGAUGACAAGCAGUGUCUUGCAACAAUGCCCAAUACAACUUGUCAAGAACAUAAAUGUACUUGUAUUAAUGGAUUUAAUUACAACAAAAAUAUUUGCUACAAACAAAUUGGUAUCAAUGAACAUUGCACAGCAAAUGAAGAAUGUUCACAUGUUCCACGAGCAAUAUGUAAUGAUAAUCAAACAUGUUCAUGCUCAAGUGAUGACAUAUUGAGUUUUGAUAAAACAAGAUGUAUUUCAACAUCUCUUGAUAGUCAAGAUGCAUGUUUGGCUAGUGUAGAGUGUAAAGCAUCAUUUGGUGAUGCUGAAUGUGUUGAUAAAUCAUGCAAGUGUAUUCAAAAUAAUCAUUAUGCUGCUGAUAUUAAACGUUGUGUUCUUAAUAGAGCAAUUGAUGAAUCAUGCGAGUUUGAUUAUGAAUGUUAUCAAGAAAAUGCUGCCAAUGAAAUUGGAAGUUUAAAAUGUUUAUCAAAUAAAUGUAUUUGCUCUGAUGAUUCAACAAGAGAUGGAAAUAUAUGUAUUGUCACAUGUAAGCAAGAGAGCCAGAGAGACACAAAUUUCAUACAAGUUUGUUUAUAUAUUUCAAGUCGGUAAAAGAAAAAUCGCGGGAGAGUUGAUGAUUUGUCACAUGACGUUACUCACACAACAACAAAAAAUGCAGUGAGUGUACAUGUGUAUUUUGGAGCAUUUUGGAGAGGACGCUUUAGGCCGGCAUUCACAUUUGUGAAUCAGUUGAAUCAGUUGGCAGCAGAA